AGGUCUUGACAAAAGAAGACCUCACUGAGGUCCUAGCAAAGGAAGACCUCAAUAAGGUCUUGACAAGAGAAGACCUCAAUGAGGUCUUGACAAAGGAAGACCUCAAUAAGGUCUUGACAAGAGAAGACCUCAAUGAGGUCUUGACAAAAGAAGACCUCACUGAGGUCUUAGCAAAGAAAGACCUCAAUAAGGUCUUGACAAAAGAAGACCUCACUGAGUUCCUAGCAAAAGAAGACCUCAAUAAGGCCUUGACAAGGAAGACCUCAAUAAGGUCUUGACAAGAGAAGACCUCAAUGAGGUCUUGACAAAAGAAGACCUCACUGAGGUCCUAGCAAAGGAAGACCUUAAUAAGGUCUUGACAAAAGAAGACCUCACUGAGGUCCUAGCAAAGGAAGACCUCAAUAAGGUCUUGACAAGGAAGACCUCAAUAAGGUCUUGACAAGAGAAGACCUCAAUAAGGUCCUAGCAAAGGAAGACCUCAAUGAGGUCUUGACAAGAGAAGACCUAAAUAAGGUCUUGACAAAAGAAGACCUCACUGAGGUCCUACCAAAGGAAGACCUCAAUAAGGUCUUGACAAAGAAGACCUCAAUAAGGUCUUGACAAAAGAAGACCUCAAUAAGGUCUUGACAAAAGAAGACCUCACUGAGUUCCUAGCAAAAGAAGACCUCACUGACGUCUUGACAAGGAAGACCUCAAUAAGAAGACCUCACUGAGGUCCUAGCAAGAGAAGACCUCAAUAAGGUCUUGACAAGGAAGACCUCAAUAAGGUCUUGACAAGAGAAGACCUCAAUAAGGUCUUGACAAGGAAGACCUCAAUAAGGUCUUGACAAGAGAAGACCUCAAUGAGGUCUUGACAAGGAAAGACCUCAAUAAGGUAUUGACAAGAGAAGACCUCAAUAAGGUCUUGACAAAAGAAGACCUCACUGAGGUCCUAACAAAGGAAGACCUCAAUAAGGUCUUGACAAGAGAAGACCUCAAUGAGGUCUUGACAAAGGAAGACCUCAAUAAGGUCUUGACAAGGAAGACCUCAAUGAGGUCUUGACAAGAGAAGACCUCAAUGAGGUCUUGACAAAGGAAGACCUCAAUAAGGUCUUGACAAAAGAAGACCUCACUGAGGUCCUAGCAAAGGAAGACCUCAAUAAGGUCUUGACAAGAGAAGACCUCAAUGAGGUCUUGACAAAGGAAGACCUCAAUAAGGUCUUGACAAGAGAAGACCUCAAUGAGGUCUUGACAAAAGAAGACCUCACUGAGGUCCUAGCAAAGGAACACCUCAAUAAGGUCUUGACAAAAGAAGACCUCACUGAGGUCCUAGCAAAGGAAGACCUCAAUAAGGUCUUGACAAGAGAAGACCUCAAUGAGGUCUUGAGAAAGGAAGACCUCAAUAAGGUCUUGACAAGAGAAGACCUCAAUGAGGUCUUGACAAAAGAAGACCUCACUGAGGUCCUAGCAAAGGAAGACCUCAAUAAGGUCUUGACAGAAGAAGACCUCACUGAGGUCCUAGCAAAGGAAGACCUCAAUAAGGUCUUGACAAAAGAAGACCUCACUGAGGUCCUAACAAAGGAAGACCUCAAUAAGGUCUUGACAAGAGAAGACCUCAAUAAGGUCUUGACAAGAGAAGACCUCAAUGAGGUCUUGACAAAAGAAGACCUCACUGAGGUCCUAGCAAAGGAAGACCUCAAUAAGGUCUUGACAGAAGAAGACCUCACUAAGGUCCUAGCAAAGGAAGACCUCAAUAAGGUCUUGACAAGAGAAGAUCUC
rnacentral:lncRNA from 1 species